GAUGAACGCUGGCGGCGUGCCUAAUACAUGCAAGUCGAGCGAACAGACGAGGAGCUUGCUCCUCUGACGUUAGCGGCGGACGGGUGAGUAACACGUGGAUAACCUACCUAUAAGACUGGGAUAACUUCGGGAAACCGGAGCUAAUACCGGAUAAUAUAUUGAACCGCAUGGUUCAAUAGUAAAAGACGGUUUUGCUGUCACUUAUAGAUGGAUCCGCGCCGCAUUAGCUAGUUGGUAAGGUAACGGCUUACCAAGGCAACGAUGGGUAGCCGACCUGAGAGGGUGAUCGGCCACACUGGAACUGAGACACGGUCCAGACUCCUACGGGAGGCAGCAGUAGGGAAUCUUCCGCAAUGGGCGAAAGCCUGACGGAGCAACGCCGCGUGAGUGAUGAAGGUCUUCGGAUCGUAAAACUCUGUUAUUAGGGAAGAACAAAUGUGUAAGUAACUAUGCACGUCUUGACGGUACCUAGUCAGAAAGCCACGGCUAACUACGUG
rnacentral:rRNA from 1 species